rfam:Alloiococcus otitis ATCC 51267 genomic scaffold supercont1.1, whole genome shotgun sequence.
GGCCCCUUGGUCAAGUGGUUAAGACAUCGCCCUUUCACGGCGGUAUCACGGGUUCGAAUCCCGUAGGGGUCA